UUCCGUAGGUGAACCUGCGGAAGGAUCAUUCGCACAUGUUCCCAACAAUACUCUUGUGCAUUGCUUUUGUGAGGGUCUGUGUGUGGAUGCAACGGUGAAAAGCUGUUCCCUCAUGCAGAUACUCGCGGGCAGUGGGGCGUGCAUCUGACUCUCUGUUUGCUGCACGUUCUCACUGUCACUGCCGUAUGGCGCUCAAGUGUUAUCGAUUGCCAAUGGCUUAUGCCAUUUGACUCACAACUUUCAGCGAUGGAUGUCUCGGUUCGAACAACGAUGAAGGGCGCAGCGAAGUGCGAUAAGCAUUGUGAAUUGCAGAAUUCCGUGAACCGACAGGGACUUGAACGCAUAUUGUGCUUUUGGGAUAUCCCCGAAAGCAUGCCUGCUUCAGUGUCUGUGCUUUGUUGUUCCAGCAGCGCUGCCACACCAAGCAUUGCUGCUGAGAGUGCUUGUGUCUCAAGAUGCGCAUCUUGGUGCUCCUGAGGCAUUCAGUUGACAAGGCUACGCUGCGACUGCCAGCUUACUGAGCAUUUUGUGCUUGUUGUUUGCUGUGCGAAGUGUGCGUUGUGCCUUGUGCUCUGGCUUGAUAUGGUUUUCAAGCUCUUACGACAUGAAGUUAGGUCAGCAAACCCGCUGAAUUUAAGCAUAUC
rnacentral:rRNA from 1 species